rnacentral:tRNA from 1 species
GGGGGUAUAGCUCAGGGGUAGAGCAUGUGACUCCAGAUCAAGAGGUCCCCAAUUUAAAUCUGGGAGCCCCCU